UCUCUUCUUUCUUCUUCGUCCAAAAUUGUACAAAGAGAAACUCAAAUACAAGCAGUAAUCAGUAUAAUAUACUUAGGAUUUCGAUUGAAAAUUUCUCUUCUUUCUUCGUCGUCUCUAAAUCGAACAAAGAAAACCCCAAAAUCAAUAAUCCAUUUUCUUUUAUUUCUUCGUCGUCCCUAAAUUGAACAACAAAGAAAACCUCAAAAUCAAUAAUCAGUUCAAUACAUAGAGCUUUAGUUGAAAUCUUGGUUUAAAUAUUUCACACCCAACCUAAAUUUAAUACUUACGGUUCAAUUGAAACUCGGUAACCCUGUUUGUGGAAAUUCCAGUGGUUUGAAGAUUUGUUCUAUUUUGUAAAAGGAAUUUGGUGUUAAUAUGGAGCAAUGAUUUUUUGCUAUAUGGACCACCGGACAACCAACUUCACUAUGAACACUUGCAUGACGUCUUAUACUUGAAAUGGUUUUGCAAAUGUUAGAAACUUGAGCAAUACAUCUAAAGAAAGGACUGAGGAUGGGAAAGCUUAGGCAAGCAACAUACACCGGCACAUGCAUUGUAUUCUCUCACACAGGUAGUUGCAUGAUUGCAGGUACGAUGUUGCUAUGAACGAGGACCUUUUCGACUUAUGACCUUGGCAACAAGGUGCAAGAAACUUCAACUGUUUUUGCAAGUAUCAACUGCCUAUGUUAACGGACAAAGACAAGGUAGAAUCUUGGAAAAACUAUUUUCUGUCGGGUAUAGCAUAGCAAGGGAACAACUAUAAUUUGACAUGCAUGCAAGAGCUCCACCCUUGCUAGAUAUUGAAGCUGAAAUGAAGUUGGUUUUGGAUUCAAAAGAGACUUUCGGAGAAAAUUUAGUAUCUAAAAAAAUGAAAGAUUUUGGUUUAGAAAGUAAUAUGCUUGGAUGUGAAUGCGGCACUUUUUGUUACUUUAGAUGAAUUUGGUUGCAGCAAUUGCUAAUUCGAAUAUCAUUAGAUUUGGUUCAUUAAAUCAAAUUGAGGGACCAAUAUUCUUUAGAAAUGGAUAAGUGAAGUUAUUUCAGAUAAGCUUCUUCGGAAAGUUGAUUUAUUGAUGCACAUGAUAUUCUCAUUCCAGCUGCUCUUUUGUUUUUAUUAUCAGGUUAUUUUCCUUGCUAAUUAACUUUUUGGGGGAGAAGGUGAUAGUAGGGAUAGUAGUCAAAAUCCAGAAUUGGAGCUUUCCUUGCAUAUGUAAACAACAAUUAAUGACAGUAGUCACAUUGUUCGUGUUUCUGCCCGGUCUUAAUGUUCCCUCUGAAGUCCUCACUGGGUAACUCCCAUAAGUUCUUAUGCAGAUUUCUGCUUCUUAUUCUGCUUCGUUUAAACUAACAUUUCAUGUUAGGUUACAACCAUCCAUAUUCACCGGGGAUACAGAAAGAGUGGUUUUGCAGCAGCAGCGGCAUCUGGUGUCAGUGGUUCUGAUUUUGGUAUAGAUCCAAACUUAGAUCCAGAACUUGCUCUUGCUUUUAGAGUUUGUAUGGCAGACGAGAGAGCAUGACAAGAAGUUGCCGCUAAGAAGAAAGCAGGAGGAGUUGCUAAACAAACAGAGGAAUGGUCAAAUUUACAAAUAAUCAAAUGGUUAGUCAUGUGUUCUAAUAGCAAGAUCCGUCAUUGUUUUUUCCACAACCUGUACUCUGUUGGUUUUGCAUGUAGGCAGUAAAUGCCUUCAUAUACAUGCAUUCGGUCAUAUGUGACACAUAACAAAAAUUAAAUGACUAUAUAUACUUGCUUAAAACAC